CAGAUCCAGCUUGCUGGAUGCUGACGAGCGGCGGACGGGUGAGUAAUGCAUAGGAAUCUGCCCGGUAGUGGGGGAUAACCUGGGGAAACCCAGGCUAAUACCGCAUACGUCCUACGGGAGAAAGGGGGCUUCGGCUCCCGCUAUCGGAUGAGCCUAUGUCGGAUUAGCUAGUUGGUGAGGUAACGGCUCACCAAGGCCACGAUCCGUAGCUGGUCUGAGAGGAUGAUCAGCCACAUCGGGACUGAGACACGGCCCGAACUCCUACGGGAGGCAGCAGUGGGGAAUAUUGGACAAUGGGGGGAACCCUGAUCCAGCCAUGCCGCGUGUGUGGAGAAGGCCCUCGGGUUGUAAAGCACUUUCAGCGAGGAAGAACGCCUAGCGGUUAAUACCCGCUAGGAAAGACAUCACUCGCAGAAGAAGCACCGGCUAACUCCGUGCCAGCAGCCGCGGUAAUACGGAGGGUGCAAGCGUUAAUCGGAAUUACUGGGCGUAAAGCGCGCGUAGGUGGCUUGAUAAGCCGGUUGUGAAAGCCCCGGGCUCAACCUGGGAACGGCAUCCGGAACUGUCAAGCUAGAGUGCAGGAGAGGAAGGUAGAAUUCCCGGUGUAGCGGUGAAAUGCGUAGAGAUCGGGAGGAAUACCAGUGGCGAAGGCGGCCUUCUGGACUGACACUGACACUGAGGUGCGAAAGCGUGGGUAGCA
rnacentral:rRNA from 1 species